CGUCCGCUCCCCGCGUGGCGGGGGGACACGCCGAGGGCGCGAGGGGCCCGCGACAGAGCCGAGGGUUGAACUUCAAAUUAGCUGGGGCGAGGGCGCCGGGGGCUCCAGGCACUGCUUGAGCAGGACCCCGGCAAGUCGCGCUUUUUGCCCUGGCCGAUCUCGGACCGGCAGGUGGGCUCUUCCUGGGCAGCCGCGCGGACCUCCCCGGGGCAGGGCGCUGCUGGAGCCGUCCUCACUGGUACGCCGAGAAAGAGCUUCAGUCGCGGCGUGUGUGGCCGGGGUGUUUUCAGGAUCUGUCUCUAUCCUCCCUCCCCUCUUUAUCUUCCAGAACAGCCAGCCUAAGCGGCGGCGCUGGGGAAAGCACCAGCUUCGGGCGCACUGCCGGAGCCCGGGUGCGCGCAGCGGUCCGUAGGGCGCUCGAUUGCCUUUUCCAGGGAUUGGAGCGGCCGUGGUGCGGCAGGCCCAGUCCCAGUGAGUCUCCAGUUUUCUCUCCUAACACCAUUCAGUGGACACAAAAGAGACCACACCUUGUUCCACAUGAACCACCUGGUGCUUAACUUACACAGGGAAGCAAUGCUGACUCCCUUCUCUCACUUCACAUCUGCAGACAAUCCCUGGAAACCAUCAAAAGGAAAGAUAAUUGAAGAUUCUCCAACUUCCUUCUGUAGGAAUGUUUACAUCUCCUUUUUUUCAUUCUCCCCUUAACUUCAUGCCCACACCUCUAGAUACGUAAAGGUAGACUGAGAGGGACAAAAUCUGUGUAAACAUACCUGUG
rnacentral:lncRNA from 1 species